ACGGAUAAAAAUAAUCAAAGGGAUUAAUCUAACGGCAGAAAAUUUGAUAGCACCAAGUACUUGGUGUUCUCGAUAGCAUGGCAGUCGGACUCUAUAUGAGUCCGGCUAUGGUGCUUGUAAAAGCACCAAGCACUUGGUGCUUGUAAAUUUUUUACCAUUAGAUCUACGUCUUUGAUUAUUUUUAACCGUUAGAUUUUACUAUUCAACCAACCACCCACUCAACCCUAGAAGGCCCACAUCAUCCUAACCAUACAUCCCGUAAUCCAGCGGUAAAAAAUCUAUAAGCACCAAUAACUUAGUACUUUUAAAAGCAUAGGAGUUCAAUUCUAUAUAUAUAUAUAUUGAGUGUGGCAUCUAUACUCUUAUGAGUAUAGAUUUUUUUGUACUUAUAAAUUUUCGACCGUUAGAUCUAUUCAUUUGACCAUUUCUAUCCGUUUGAUCAUACUAUUCAACUAACUAUCCACUCAACCUUAGGGGACCACUAUUAUCCUAACCUCGCAUCUCUUCAUUCAACAGUUAAAAAUUUAUAAGUAUGAAAAGAUCUAUACUCAUAAAAAUAUAGUAGUCCUAAUCUAUAUAUAUUAAUAUUUUGGUGCACAUACUUUUAAUUAGUUUAUUAUAU
rnacentral:lncRNA from 1 species